rnacentral:rRNA from 1 species
AAGGUAGCGAAAUUCCUUGUCGGGUAAGUUCCGACCUGCACGAAUGGCGUAACGACUUCCCCACUGUCUCGACCAGGAGCUCGGCGAAAUUGCAGUACGAGUAAAGAUGCUCGUUAAGCGCAGAAGGACGAAAAGACCCCGGGACCUUUACUAUACCUUGGUAUUGGCGUUAGGCGCGGAUUGUGUAGCAUAGGCGGGAGGCUUCGAAGCGCGGGCGCCAGCCCGUGUGGAGCCGCAAGGUGAAAUACCGCUCUGUUCUCGUUUGACGUCUAACCUCGAACAGUCAUCCUGUUCAGGGACAGUGCCUGGCGGGUAGUUUAACUGGGGCGGUUGCCUCCCAAAGAGUAACGGAGGCGCUCAAAGGUCCGCUCAGCCCGGUUGGCAAUCGGGUUUCGAGUGUAAUCGCACAAGCGGGCUUGACUGCGAGAACGACGGUUCGGGCAGGGACGAAAGUCGGAGAUAGUGAUCCGGUGCCGGCGCACGGGCGCGGCAUCGCUCAACGGAUAAAAGGUACCCCGGGGAUAACAGGCUGAUCAUUCCCAAGAGUCCAUAUCGACGGGAUGGUUUGGCACCUCGAUGUCGGCUCGUCGCAUCCUGGGGCUGGAGCAGGUCCCAAGGGUUCGGCUGUUCGCCGAUUAAAGCGGCACGCGAGCUGGGUUCAGAACGUCGUGAGACAGUUUGGUCUCUAUCCUCUGCGCUCGUUGGAAUCCUGAGGAGGCCUGCCCAUAGUACGAGAGGACCUGGGUGGACGGACCUCUGGUAUGCCGGUUGUCGCGCCAGCGGCAUGGCCGGUUGGCUACGUUCGGGAGGGAUAACCGCUGAAAGCAUCUAAGCGGGAAGCCUGCUCCAAGAUUAGGAUUCCUUGGCACUUUUGGUGCCUGUAGCCCGCAUGUGGAACACGUGUUCGAUAGGCCGGAGGUGGAAGCCCCGCGAGGGGUGGAGCCGACCGGUACUAACGGGCGAACGCGGCACAC